GGAGCUCUCUGUGCAUGGGGGAGAACCUAAGAGCCUGAAGAAGCAGGAAAUGGGUUCAAUUAACUGGCAAGCGUUGCAGUCAAAAGCCCACAGUUCUCCAGGGAUUCUUAAUCUAAAUGGACUGGGGCUACAAGAUCGUCCACGAGCAGCUAGACUAACGAAGGCUUUCAGACAGACAGGGAGGACGUGGUUCAGAGCAGACCGAUGACUGGAACACAAGCGGUACGAAGCAGAGACAGCAACGUGGCUGGAACACCAACAGUAUCAGAGGCAGACUGGCAUAACUGGGCGUCAUAUUAUUCAGAAGCUCUCAGAGAAUAUCUAGAUGGCAGACUGCUGAAUUCUCAUGAUACCAUCAAAGAAUCAGAUACCAGUUAAGACUGAAACAGUGUGUGCAGAGAACCACGUCCAUGAAGCAUAGAGAAGCUCAUUUCUCAUUGGCCAGCCCACAGCAAGGUAUAGAGUAUGUUGAGGCCCUGUCUGCAUGACUGACUCUUCCACACGGACUGUCCCGCCCUCCCCAAUCUGCCGUGGUUCUCUUUGCAAUCUGUCACACUGCCUCACAAAGACGAACUGUUGCUCCUUCACAGCCACGUGGGAGCUCUCUGGGAUACCCCUGGUAACCUAUGGCGACAGCUCUGGAGGUAUCACGGAUAUAAAGGAAUCUUUCUUUCCUACAAUGCACAGAGAGCUUCAGUUUCACUUCUGGAAGAAGAUGAGGAACUCCCCUCUGUGGUCAAAAUGUGAAGCACAGAAUCAUUUUUGAUGACAUACAACUUGUUUCUUACCUAGCAAUGCAAUGAAUCUGGUCAAAUGCUUUGUUUUAACAAACAACUAUAAUCAAUUAGCCUGUGCCAUACUUUAUGAUAGCUUCAUAGAUUCUAUAAAUGGCAGAAACAGUGCCUCUUCACAAAAAUAUCAUUAGAGACAAUAAUGAAUGAAUGAAUAUUGUGAAAUUCAAGAUUCAAUAGUGUGUAAAGCCAACACAGGUAAAAAGCAACAACAACAACAGCCUUAAAAGGGAUAGUUCACCCAAAAAUGUAAAAUUACCCCAUGAUUUACUCACCCUUUAGCCAUCCAAGGUGUAUAUGACUUUCUUCUUUCAGACGAAUACAAUUGGAGAUAUAUUUAAAAAUACCCUGGCUCUUCCAAGCUUUAUAAUGGUAGAGGAGGGGGGCCUGAUUUUGAAGCCCAAAAAAAAAAAAAAAAAAAAAAAAAAAAAAAAUGCAUCCAUCCAUCCAUCGUAAAAGUACUCCAUACGGAUUCAGGGGGUUAAUAAAGGCCUUCUGAAGCAAAGCGAUGGGUUUUUGAAAGAAAAAUAUCCAUAUUUAAAACUUUAUAAUAUAAAAUAACUAGCUUCUGGAAGACGACCGUACGCAUACUGCGACUUGCGGCACAAGAGUAACCCCUGACGCGAUGUAUGACACAGGAUGUAAGAGUAUCGUAAGCUUAGACGACUCUCGCGAUUUAAACAAAUAGGGCUGGGCAACAAACUCAAGCUCCUCUUCUCUUAUAUUGAAAUCACACUCGGUUGUAUAUAAUCAUAAUGCUUUGCAAAACUGAUACAGGAGGAAAAGUUUAUUUAUUGUUGUGCUGCUGUAACAUGUAAAUUUCCCCUAGGGAAUUAAUAAAGUUUAUCAUCAUCAUCAUCAUCAUCCCCCAACAUUUCUCUUUAAAAUUUCUCAUUUUAGACUUUUAAUUUGUGACCGGUGUUUUGUUUUGCUCUAGCCUCUGCGCUUCUGCGUUCGUCAUUACUUCAUGCAUCGGGUCAGGGGUUACUCUUUUUUUUUUUUUUUUUUUUUUUACAAAAAGCCAUCACUUCGCUUCAGAAGGCCUUUAUUAACCCCCUGGAGUUGUGUUGAGUAUUUUUAUGAUAGAUGGAUGUACUUUUUUUUGCUUCAAAUUUGGGCCCCCAUUCACUGCCAUUAUAAAGCUUGGAAGAGCCAGGAUAUUUUUAAAUAUAUCUCUGAUUGUGUUUGUCUGAAAGAAGAUAGUCAAAUACACCUAGGAUGGCUUGAGGGUGAGUAAAUCAUUGGAUAACAAGUUGAAGCAUGUUUGCUUGACCUGUGAGAACCAGUGAGGUUCAUUCUCAUGUGUUACACAGCACGUUUGAGCUUCCGCAAGAGGUUUGUUCUAGCACGGUUGAGCUGUUUAUGUUCGCUAAUCAAUGUUUACAUGUGAAUAAAAGCCUAAAUUAAAUCGGUUCAUGAUAAAAAGCGAUCAAGUCCCUUCAGAAAAUUUGGACUAAACCACUCAAUUCAUAUGGAUUAGUUUUAUGAUCUCUUUAUGAACUUUUUGAAGCGUCAAAGUGUCAGUUGCGUAGCUGUCUAUGGAGGGACAGAAAGCUCUCAGAUUUCAUCAAAAAGAUCUUCAUUUGUGUUCCGAAGAUGAACGAAAGUCUUACAGGUUUGGAACAACAUGAGGGUGAGUAAUUAAUGACAGAAUUUUCAUUUUGGGGUGAACUAACCCUUUAACUAACCCAAUAUCCCUGUCUAAUCCACACAGGUGUAGAUUUGUUUAGACACAAUGUUUGGAAUGGUGUGAAUUACACAAACUGAAAAGUAGCGUGGCGGCAUUCUUGAAUUCAGAGCAACAGUGUUUAGAGCAAUCAGAUUUUGUUUACAGUUUACUGUAAACUUGACCAGAAUGCAUCCUGUGAGUUUUGGGUGGGGGAAAAAACAUUUUCUGGUUCUACUAAAUACAGUAGAGGGCAGUGUUAAAUUACUUUGACAUUCAAGGAUGAGAAUAUAACUCACCACAGAAAAAACGUGGGAUUUGUGUGUUUUCACAUGAAAGACUUGAAUAAGGUACCUCACAUAUUUAAAAAAAAAACCUGAGGCCAGAUUCAUAAGAAUAACAUUCUUCUUAACUGCUGUUUAAAAAAAAAAAAAAAAAAAAAAAAAAAAAGUAUUUAUGAUAAGAAUUAGGAACUCGAGUCCCUGUAUUGUUGAUUUUGUUCCUAAUUUAUAAUUCCAGUAUCAAUACCUUUAUCCAUCCUUUACAUCUUAAACUACACUUUGUUUCUCUGUCUAUAAACAUGAAGGGAUUGCAUGGUUUGCAGGUGGUGACCUAUGAGAGCUCAAGCUGACGCAUGACUCCUUCAUAUCACCUCCAGUCCUUCCUGCCGCCCACACAGAGUAAAAAUCACGCUGACACCACUUCAUCAGUCCAACCCACAGCUAUGAGCUCUCAGCAGGCAGAGACACCUCACCGUUCUGCAAGCACACUCACUUCAAACACAGAGUUUGACAUUGAAAGAAAUCAAAAUGAAACGCGUGCUGCAAGGACCGCCACAUCUGCUCCAAAUGUACAACCACUAAAUUAUCUAAUUGACCCAUGCAGCUGAUUCCUUAGCUUUGCUAGUUUCAUAUUGUUUCACCACACAGGUUCUGUAUUACAACUAGGGCUGGGCGAUAAAACAACAAUUAUUGGAAUAUAAUUUUUCUUCAAUAAAACGAUAGCAAGAGUUCGAUAUAAUGUGUAUGCUCCAAAAGUGGAACGAAACAGCGCUACUCAUUUGAACCGUUGAAUUUGAAUUUCUUAAUAAAAAUUAGAAGAAAUUUCAUAAUAACAGAGAUAAUGCCCGUUUAAUAUUUUUCUGCAUAAUUAUUAGCAAGAGAAUUUUAAUGAAGUAGUUUAAAAAAUAUUUAAGCAAAUUAAUUAAACUGAAAAGUAACAUGCAUUAAUAUUUGAGUUACUUUUUUAAAGAAAAGUAAUGUGUAAAUUUAUAAAGUAAUGUGUUACUGUACUCGUUACGUCAAAAAGUAAUCUGAUUAUGUAACGCACGUUACUUGUAAUGCGUUACCCCAACACUUGUCAUGUUUAAAUUUAUUCAUUUAUGUAUGUAUUACCAGUGUAUUAAGCAGAAUUAUAUAGUCAGCUGGUCAUUAUUGCAAAAUAAACCACUUUAGGGUGACACAAGACCUGAAUGACUACAUUAUCCUUGACAUACUGAUGAGACUAUAUAAAACAUUGAAAUUCUAAAAAGCUGUUAAAUACAGCUGAACAUCAUUUCUGGUUUCACUGAGGCCACAAUGUAAUGGGCCUAUAAUCAUAGUUUACAAAUCCAGGGGAAACUGACACAGGAAACUCCUUAAAAUAGAGCCGCUUCAGUUGACUAAAAUAAGUACUGAAUCCCCUUAUAAUGUGGUGUGGAGAUGACCUCAAACUGUAUGGAAAAAAAGAAUUAGAAAGCUGGUGUCCCAAAUGCAUCUCCUUAUGGGAAGAAUAAAUAAAAGUGAAUAAAACUGUCAAAAUGCAGCACUACAUAUUUCUAUUCUCACACUCUUAGGUUUUUAGGCAGACCACAAGAAUUUCUUAAAACAUUACAUAGCCCUCACGCCUAAUGGCCGAGGGCCAGUGUGAGAGUUUCAGGGCAGUGCUGAAUUAUCAAUAACAUCUUAUAUUCCAAAUGUAAACAGAUUUUAUGUGAUGUACUGAACAUUACUGUUGUGAAUUAUUUAUUUAUUUAUUUAAUUUUGUAGUAUGUAUGUGUCAGGCAAAAUAUGCACCAGAGAAAAUGGUAGCCCCACUGGGCCAAUAGAGAAACCCUUACUGUUGAGCCCAGUUAUAAAACACUGAUGCUCUGAAAAUGUUUUAACUAAUAAAGAUCAUUCCUCUACAUGUAUUAAAUCACUCAUAUUUUUACACUUCCCAUAGCUGCAAGCUGUUCAACAUGUCCUGAUGAAGAGGAAAUGACAUUUCAUCACACCUCCUGAAAAACAGUUUACCCUGGAAACUAGAUUUCUGACUGUCAUUAAAGUACAUGCUUGAUUUGAA